rnacentral:tRNA from 1 species
UAAAAGUUAGUUUAAUUAAAAACAUUGGUCUGUGAAUCCAGAAAUAAUUUUAGAUUACUUUUAU